rfam:Caldibacillus debilis strain B4135 NODE_18, whole genome shotgun sequence.
CAACCUGUCCAGUGAUGGACAGCUGAACGGUCAGAAGUCAGCAGAGGUCAUAGUACAAGAGGGGGUCGCUCCCUGCUUGGAAGGAC